rnacentral:rRNA from 1 species
AGUCGAGGGGCAGCAUUUCAGUUUGCUUGCAAACUGGAGAUGGCGACCGGCGCACGGGUGAGUAACACGUAUCCAACCUGCCGAUAACUCGGGGAUAGCCUUUCGAAAGAAAGAUUAAUACCCGAUGGUAUAAUCAGACCGCAUGGUCUUAUUAUUAAAGAAUUUCGGUUAUCGAUGGGGAUGCGUUCCAUUAGGCAGUUGGUGAGGUAACGGCUCACCAAACCUUCGAUGGAUAGGGGUUCUGAGAGGAAGGUCCCCCACAUUGGAACUGAGACACGGUCCAAACUCCUACGGGAGGCAGCAGUGAGGAAUAUUGGUCAAUGGGCGCAGGCCUGAACCAGCCAAGUAGCGUGAAGGAUGACUGCCCUAUGGGUUGUAAACUUCUUUUANUAUGGGAAUAAAGUUUUCCACGUGUGGAAAUUUGUAUGUACCAUAUGAAUAAGGAUCGGCUAACUCCGUGCCAGCAGCCGCGGUAAUACGGAGGAUCCGAGCGUUAUCCGGAUUUAUUGGGUUUAAAGGGAGCGUAGGUGGACAGUUAAGUCAGUUGUGAAAGUUUGCGGCUCAACCGUAAAAUUGCAGUUGAUACUGGCUGUCUUGAGUACAGUAGAGGUGGGCGGAAUUCGUGGUGUAGCGGUGAAAUGCUUAGAUAUCACGAAGAACUCCGAUUGCGAAGGCAGCUCACUGGACUGCAACUGACACUGAUGCUCGAAAGUGUGGGUAUCAAACAGGAUUAGAUACCCUGGUAGUCCACACAGUAAACGAUGAAUACUCGCUGUUUGCGAUAUACAGUAAGCGGCCAAGCGAAAGCAUUAAGUAUUCCACCUGGGGAGUACGCCGGCAACGGUGAAACUCAAAGGAAUUGACGGGGGCCCGCACAAGCGGAGGAACAUGUGGUUUAAUUCGAUGAUACGCGAGGAACCUUACCCGGGCUUAAAUUGCAUUUGAAUAANUNUGGAAACAGGUUAGCCGCAAGGCAAAUGUGAAGGUGCUGCAUGGUUGUCGUCAGCUCGUGCCGUGAGGUGUCGGCUUAAGUGCCAUAACGAGCGCAACCCUUAUCUUUAGUUACUAACAGGUCAUGCUGAGGACUCUAGAGAGACUGCCGUCGUAAGAUGUGAGGAAGGUGGGGAUGACGUCAAAUCAGCACGGCCCUUACGUCCGGGGCUACACACGUGUUACAAUGGGGGGUACAGAAGGCAGCUACCUGGUGACAGGAUGCUAAUCCCAAAAGCCUCUCUCAGUUCGGAUCGAAGUCUGCAACCCGACUUCGUGAAGCUGGAUUCGCUAGUAAUCGCGCAUCAGCCAUGGCGCGGUGAAUACGUUCCCGGGCCUUGUACACACCGCCCGUCAAGCCAUGAAAGCCGGGGGUACCUGAAGUACGUAACCGCAAGGAG